rnacentral:rRNA from 1 species
UACAGAGGUCUCGAGCGUUGUUCGGAUUCAUUGGGCGUAAAGGGUGCGUAGGUGGCGAGGGAAGUCGGAUGUGAAAUCCCGGGGCUCAACCCCGGAACUGCAUUCGAUACUGCCCUGCUAGAGUACUGGAGAGGAGAUUGGAAUUUACGGUGUAGCAGUGAAAUGCGUAGAUAUCGUAAGGAAGACCAGUGGCGAAGGCGGAUCUCUGGACAGUUACUGACACUGAGGCACGAAGGCCAGGGGAGCAAACGGG